UACAGAGGUCUCAAGCGUUGUUCGGAUUCAUUGGGCGUAAAGGGUGCGUAGGCGGCGCGGUAAGUCGGGUGUGAAAUCUCGGGACUUAACUCCGAAACUGCAUUCGAUACUACCGUGCUUGAGGACUGGAGAGGAGACUGGAAUUUACGGUGUAGCGGUGAAAUGCGUAGAUAUCGUAAGGAAGACCAGUGGCGAAGGCGGGUCUCUGGACAGUUCCUGACGCUGAGGCACGAAGGCCAGGGGAGCAAACGGG
rnacentral:rRNA from 1 species